UACAGAGGUCCCAAGCGUUGUUCGGAUUCACUGGGCGUAAAGGGUGCGUAGGUGGUCAGGUAAGUCUGAUGUGAAAUCUCGGAGCUUAACUCCGAAACUGCAUUGGAUACUAUCUGGCUUGAGGGUCGGAGGGGGGACUGGAAUUCUCGGUGUAGCAGUGAAAUGCGUAGAUAUCUGGAGGAACACCGGUGGCGAAGGCGGCAUCCUGGACCAACACUGACACUGAGGAGCGAAAGCCAGGGGAGCAAACGGG
rnacentral:rRNA from 1 species